rnacentral:rRNA from 1 species
UACGUAGGGUGCGAGCGUUUGUCCGGAAUUAUUGGGCGUAAAGGGCUCGUAGGCGGUUUGUCGCGUCGGGAGUGAAAUCCACUGGCUUAACUGGUGGCUUGCUUUCGAUACGGGCAGACUGGAGGUAUGCGGGGGAGAACGAAUUCCUGGUGUAGCGGUGAAAUGCGCAGAUAUCAGGAGGAACACCGGUGGCGAAGGCGGUUCUCUGGGCAUGUCCUGACGCUGAGGAGCGAAAGUGUGGGGAGGCGAACAGG